rnacentral:rRNA from 1 species
CCUACGGGUGGCAGCAGUGGGGAAUAUUGCACAAUGGGGGAAACCCUGAUGCAGCAACGCCGCGUGAGUGAUGAAGUACUUCGGUAUGUAAAGCUCUAUCAGCAGGGAAGAAGAAAGACGGUACUUGACUAAGAAGCCCCGGCUAACUACGUGCCAGAAGCCGCGGCAAACCGAAGGGGGCAAGCGUUAGCCGGAUGUACUGGGUGUAAAGGGAGCGUAGACGGCUGUGCAAGUCUGAAGGGAAAGCCCGUGGCUCAACCGCGGAACUACUUUGGAAAUCGUAUAGCUCGGGUACGGGAGGGGCAAGCGGAAUUCCUAGUGUAGGGGUGAAAUGCGUAGAUAUUAGGAGGAACACCAGUGGCGAAGGCGGCCUGCUGGACAGAAACUGACGUUGAGGCUCGAAAGCGUGGGGAGCAAACAGGAUUAGAUACCCUAGUAGUC